rnacentral:rRNA from 1 species
UACAGAGGUCUCAAGCGUUGUUCGGAUUCAUUGGGCGUAAAGGGUGCGUAGGCGGCGCGGUAAGUCGGGUGUGAAAUCUCGGGGCUUAACUCCGAAACUGCAUUCGAUACUGCCGUGCUUGAGGACUGGAGAGGAGACUGGAAUUUACGGUGUAGCGGUGAAAUGCGUAGAUAUCGUAAGGAAGACCAGUGGCGAAGGCGGGUCUCUGGACAGUUCCUGACGCUGAGGCACGAAGGUCAGGGGAGCAGACGGG